GCCUGCCCUGCCGCGGGGAGGAAAAUGUCGGGAGGAGUCCCUGCCCCAUCCGCAGCCUUUGUUCGCUAAGGCCAGGGGCGCCCACGGCGGGGCUGCGCGCCCCGCGUCCCCAAGCGCCCCCGGGACGCCCCCUCCCGCUGCCGCCGCGGCCCAGCCGGCUAGUGCCAGGGCGAGCGCUUACCAGGUGGUCCCAGAGGCCCCGCGGCGCGGGCACUCGCGGUCAAGUUCAGGUCCGGCCCCGCAGACCGUCCCGGGUCCCGGCGCGCAGCCCCAGCCGAGUGCAGACGCGGUCGCCGCCGCGGCCGGCCGGGGCGCUGCUGUCACCCUGGCCUCGCCACCCCAACUUUGUGCACAGUCGCCGAGCUGGAAGUUUCCGGGCUUCGCGGACGCUGGGCUGGGUUUCAGCAGCGACGUCUGAGCUUGGCAACAAAGAGGGAGAGAGCAGGCCCCGGAGAGGGAGGAAGAGGACUGCGGGGAGAGCAGCCCACUGAGAAAGCCCAGGACUUGAAAUUCCACCCACACGGGCUUUUGGUUUUGUGUUUUUCUUAGGAGGUAAACAAGAAUGUCCUGCAGCGGGUGGGAUGGCCCUUCCCAAAGCUCUGGUCACUCUCCAGGGUGGCCUCGCAGGCAUCUGGCACUUGAGAGCCCACUCCCACGGGUCUGGGAGUGAGGGUGGGUGUAAGUACUCCCUAACAGCAGGUGACACCACAUCCACCUGCAGAGUGGGAGGGUGGUGGCUGUCUCCUGCCCUCCAGUGCCAGGUCAGCCUGUGGCCCAGAACAGGAAGGAGGGAUUCCAUGCUGGGUCCUGUGCCCAGACCCAUUCAGCCCCCUCCAAAAGGUGUGGUGUCCCUGUUCCCAACCUCCAAGGAAGAUAUUUGAUGGGUGAGGCUGGAAGGAUUCCCUGGCCUCGUCCUGAGCUGCAGCUCCUCAGUUGGUCUCUGCCACUUACUGUCCUCUUCUCUCUGCCUGGCUUUGAACUCCUCCAGGGCAGGGUCCUGGGGACACAUCCUGGGUAGGGGCAGCAGGUGAGUAGCCCCAGGCCUGAAAAUACACAAAGUAGCUGAGCCCAUGCCCCAGAGACUGCCAAGGCCCUGCAGGCCAUGGACCAGGUGCUGAGGGGCAUGGGCCUCCAGCUGCCCGCUGGCUUGGGGCACCCCUGCACCUCGCUGGCUAUGUUUACCAUUUAUCCUCCCACCCCCGACUCAUUUAUGCGGAAAACAGUCCCAGGCCUGCUCCUCCAGAGCACUAUUUCAGGUUGGGAGCACAGGGCUUCUGCCUGCUUGUUUUUUAAAGAAAAAUGGAGGGGGCUAUGGAGGCCUAAGUGGGGGUCGAGAGGGAAGACCAUGCUGUCUCUUCCCCCAUAGAAGUGGUUUGUGGCUCAAGGAGCUGCAGCCCUGCUCCCUUAGAUGGGGAUCCCCUUCUAAUGACGGCCCAAGCUCAGUUCUUUCUGGAUUCUGUCCUGGACUUCUACAGGUGAUUCGUGGAAGAGGCCUUGCUGCCCAUCCACCUGGAAACUUUCGAGACUUCUGGCCCUGAGAACACAGGUUGUAGAGAUGCCAGGAGGUGCCAGGGCUGGCUGGGACGGCCUGUGAGCUACCUCUGGGGGAAAAUCCACCUGCCAACAGAGCCCAGGAUCCUGUCCCAGGCAGGGGGAUGCGGCUGCUCUUGUCUUCAUGGUGGUCAGCCCUGGCAAAGCCUGUCCCUAUUCCUCCCCAGGCCUCAGGACGCCAGCCUCACUCACUCCAGGGCACAGCGACUGACAUUCUACUGAGGCAGAACACCAGGUGGAGACAUGGCAGAAUUCCCUCCUCUCAACACAGCGCCUUGCUCAGGGCCUGGCCUUUCCCGGAGAGGGAAGCUGCCUGCUCUCUCCGCGGGCAUACUUAACAGGGCACACUGUUUUAUAUUUUCGGUGCAUCAGGAACAUGGUGUCUCCCUGACGUCUGAACUCCUUUGCUUCCUGCCUCCUUGUCACUGGUGUACUUUGUCUCAAAGGGGAAUGCCACCCUAGUUCUUUUGGAAAACAUCACUAUCUAGUCCCAGGCUGGCUGCCUGACCGUGGGGCCCCCUCCUUUGUACAGGGCCACACCACACCUGCGGAAGGGUCCAGUACUCAAUGCUCAGCUAUAACCGGCUCAUAAUUCUGGGUCAUUUUUGAGUACAGGGCCUGCAUUUUCAUCUUGCUCCGGCCCUGCUAAUCCUGACUUUGGCUGCUGGUUAAUAAUGCUGCAGAGUGAGAAGGUAAAUGUCUAUGAUUUGUAAGUAUGUUUAAACUAAGUUCUGCUUACAGAAAUAGUUCCACAUUCUAGGUAAAUGAGGUAAAAACAUUUCUGUUGAAGAUUACUGUGUUCAGGGAAAAUGUCCCUCUUUCAGGGAGGAAGAUGUGAGGAAAACAGUGCAAUCCACAUGGGUGCAUUGGUGCAUGCCUGUCGUCCCCGCAACUCCGGAGGCUGAGAAGGGAGGAUUGCAGCAACUUAGUGAGACUGUCUCAAAGUAAAAUAAAAAGGACUGGGGGUAUAGCUCGGUGGUGGAGCACUGGCAUAGCAUGUGUGAGGUGCUGGGAAAAAAAUCCUCAGCACUGGAGGGGGAAAACGAAAAAAAAAAAGGAAGAAAGAAAAAGAAAAACAGUGUAAUCCUGAGGCUUGGAGGAUGGAAUGUUCUGCUUUGCCCCGGCUCCACCAAGAAACACCCGCGCACCAUCCCACAGGCAGGUGUUCAGAGCAGUAGAUCUGUGCAUACCAGGCACUCGGCAAAGGCCAGUGUCCUUGACUGUCUUUUGACAUGAGGGCUUAGACAGUUUCACUACUUUUACCCUGAAUGUAUUUACCUCUUAUCAUUAUAAAAGUAACACACACUGCUAUAGAAUGUUUGGAAAAAGAAAAAGAAAGGAGAAGUUUCCACCAUGUCCUUUACUCCAAAGCCUGCAGACAGUGAGGCCAGUGCGCUUCUGUACAGUCCUAGAAAUAUAGGGAGGUUGACCAAGGACCACAGGGGAGCAAGGCCCCGCCUGCUGUGUGCUGCCCAGCACGGUGGCUGCAGAUGACCUCUGUGCACUGUAUGUUCCAGAAAGCUGCAAAAAAGGGGUUUGUUUUCAUCAGUUUUCAUCAUAAAGACAUGACAAAUGUUUGAGGAGAUAAACAUGCUUAAUUUGAAUUAAAUACUAUACUAUGUAUACAUUAUAGAAAUAGCAUAUGGUGCUCCAUAAAUAUGUACAAUUUUUAUCUAUCAGUUAAAAAUAAAUUUAACCUUAAAAAAUAAAUUUAAAUUCAAAUUAAACUCAAUUAUA
rnacentral:lncRNA from 1 species